UAUUGAACUAUUCUGCCUAUAUAUCUACACUGAAUGGUGAAAUCUCAGAAAUGGUAUGCGGGUAAACUAUGGACAUAAGCUUUAAGGACAGUAGAAUUACCUAUAAAUAUUUGCAUCGAGCAAUGCGCUUCCGAAAACAGGUGCGUUAUUGCUUUAUAUUAAUUUAUGCCUAACUUGUCCUUAUUGUUUGAGGAAGAGCCUCGCUCGAUGCAAAUAUUUAUAUGCAAUUCUACUCUCCUAAAAUCUUAUGUCCAUAGUUUACCAAUAUAAUACAUAUUCAUUCCUACCUGGGCUGCUUGCUGAUUUUGUUAAAUUAGUUCAUCCAAAUACCAUUUCUAAGAUUCCACCCUUCAGUGCAGUGUAUAAAAUCAGAAUAUCCAAUACAGUAUUAGAGCUCUAAAAAACGGUCUGGUAGAUUAAAUUGGUGAAACUGCUAGAAGAGAUCCACCACUGAUGAGCCAAGCCCUCCCAAUAUUUUGUCAUUGCAGUAAGGACAGUAGAAGUUUGUUUUAUUGAUAAAAGAAACAUUCAUGUUUUAAAAUACUUUCAUUCAUUAUAUACUAGACGAAUGACCCGGCUUCGCCCGGGAAUUCCCCAGAGUGCAAUUUCCUUCAUACUGAAAGAACAUCACUAAUAAAUAGUAUUAGAGCCAUAGAAUAGCAACACCGAAGUAAUACAUAGUUCAAAUAGUUGGCAGAUUUUCCACCCAACCUCCGAGGUACCCGCCCCAGCGUGUUAACUCUUAUAUAUAGUGGUGCAUCCUCUGUAGGUCUAUUACACUCUUUGGGUAAAAAGGGAUAAGGAUUGAAAUUGCUUGAGAAGAGUGACCGUGAUUGACCAAGCCUAGCCAGCAGCCUGUAAUCUAAUGUUUUCAGACCCCAGUCAAACAUUCGUAGAUGUUUUUCUGAAAAAUAAUUAAAAAAACUAAUAUUAAUAUAAAUCAUAAUAAUCUGCAACUGUCCUUGAAUAUUCUAGAGAUUUACCUUUCAAAUAUAUACGUAUAUAGAAAGAAUUAUGAAAAUAAUAUACCACUCAAACAACAACAAAAAAAGACUAAAAUAGCAUUAAAAAAAAAUAUUCAUGACAACAUAGAAGAAUACACAAAAUUUGAAGUCUUAUUUUCUGGAGCCAAAACAUAAAGAUUUCUUCCUGAGCCAACUCUAGAGCAGGCAACAUACAAUUGCCCAUGCGAGAAACAGGGUUGCUCCAAGUCAAUGCCAGCAAUUUUGAGGGACUGACCUUGAGCCUUGUUAAUCGGCAUGGCAAAAGAAACUCGAAUGGGGAACUGCAAUCUUUUAAAAUGCAAAGGAGAAUGUUUAUCAUCAUGAAUCAGAGGAAUCCGGGGAAUAAAAUCCUCUUCAUUUUGAAAACAACCAGUCAAAAUGGUUGCCUCUACAACAUGAGGCCACAAUCUUUUAACACAGAGACGGGCACCAUUGCAAAGGCGGGGUGCAUCAAUAUUUCAUCAUCAAAUAUAUACGUAUAUAGAAAGAAUUAUGAAAAUAUUAGACCACUCAAACAACAACAAAAAAAAAAGACUAAAACAGCAUUUUAAAAAAAAUUAUUCAUGACAACACAGAAGAAUACACAAAAUUUGAAGCCUUAUUUUCUGGAGCCAAAACAUAAAGAUUUCUUCCUGAGCCAACUCUAGAGCAGGCAACAUACAAUUGCCCAUGCGAGAAACAGGGUUGCUCCAAGUCAAUGCCAGCAAUUUUGAGGGACUGACCUUGAGCCUUGUUAAUCGACAUGGCAAAAGAAACUCGAAUGGGGAACUGCAAUCUUUUAAAAUGCAAAGGAGAAUGUUUAUCAUCAUGAAUCAGAGGAAUCUGGGGAAUAAAAACCUCUUCAUUUUGAAAACAACCAGUCAAAAUGGUUGCCUCUACCACAUGAGGCCACAAUCUUUUAACACAGAGACGGGUACCAUUGCAAAGGCGGGGUGCAUCAUAUUUCUCAAUAAAAUAAUGGGAACACCAACUCUAAGUUCUAAGUGAUGUGGUGGCAUCCCAGAAGGUUCUAAAGAAUUUAAAAACUCUGUUGUAUAUUCCACGCAAUCCUCAGCAUCAAUGGUGGAAUCCACAGAAGUAUAUAAAAUGCUUUGCCCUGGUAUUUCAUUCAAAAGCUGAGCAUUUAUGGCAUCAACUACACAAUUCCUUGGAGCCAAAAUUGCCCGCUCACAAAGCCAAGGAUAGUAAUUCGCCCUUCCCCGGUUAAACAUUUCCCCAAUGUUAGGAAAAACACUAUUCUUUAGGCCAGAGAGGGAGUCACACACACACACACAACAGUGUUAACCAAUUCAUUUGAAAAAUUAACUUCCAAGUUGAAGCAAAAAUUGUGAAAAUAACAGUGAGUUAGGAUCUCCUGAAUUGACAGCCCGCAUAUUUGUUGAAAGAGUAAGCCUUUCAACAAAUGACCAAAGUGGGGAUGCCUAUAAGCAAGCAUGCAACUCAUCUGCUAUUGUACCUCUAGGGAUAAUGGGCAAUAUCUGCCUGAAGUCACCGGCCAACAACAACACUACACCUCUCAUUGGUCUCAGAUCCUGCCUAAAAUCUUUAAGUGUUAUGUCAACUGCCUCUAAAGCAUGCCUGUGUGCCAUAGUACAUUCAUCCCAGACAAUAAAUUUGCAUUGUCUAAGAACUUCGCCUAUUGCGGAAUCAGCAUUCAAAUUACAAACUGGUACCUCAUCCCUGGUCAAAUCUAAGGGUAAUUUGAAAGUCGAAUGAGCAGUUCUGCCACCAUGCAACAGAGUGGCCGCAAUACCAGAAGAAGCUGUAGAAAGAGCAAUGUCCCCAGUACUUCGUACCUUUGUAAGAAGAAGAUUGAUCAGAAAGGUUUUUCCUGUGCCCCCAGGAGCAUCAAGUACAAUCCGCCAGCAUUGGAAUCAAUUUUAGAAAGGAUCCUUUCGUAAGCCUCCUUUUGUUCAGGGACAUUGGCAAGUUUCGGUUCAUUCGAAGCCACAAAUUGUAGUAACCUGCUGAGAUCAUACGAUGUUUCUCUUAAAAGUUCAUGACUGGUUCGGUGAGUAACAUUGCGCUGUGGGGACUUUAUGCCAAACAUUUUCAAAUGGAAACCAGUCAUUUGCAGAACUUUUUGUUCUAAAAGUAUUAAAGCUUGAUUUGACAUUUCGUAUGUCAGCUGUAAAAGACCGUCAUUGGCUUGCUGUCUUGCAAGAUUCAGAAUAUCUGCAGACAUUGGUUCUUUAAAUUGUGCCCAGAUAUCUUGAGGGUUGGUAGGGUGGCAGCAGGUAAGAAUAAUAGCAAAAGGUUCCCGGAUUUUUAAAGGAGACUCACUUAGCACUGCCUCCUGAAUACAAUGAUGCCAUUGCUGGUCAUUCUCAAGCAAUUCCAAAUGCAGAAAUGCCUCUUUAUAUGUUUGACAGAGCAAACCAUUGAUUGUUCUGAGGGCUGCAAAAGAAGUUGGACCACGAACACUAUGAAGCAGCAUGCGAAGAUAAAAACAUUCCUCAAAAUUUGGAUGAACGAUGUAGACUCUGCCAAUAGCAUCAGAAGCAAAAGCAACUUGGUCAGCAAUGCGAGUGCCUUAUUUUCGAGGCUGCCAUAAUUUAGAAGCAGACCAAAUGUAGUAAACAGGAACUUCAACAUAGAGAAGUGUUUUUGCAAAGUUAUCGCGCUGGCAAAGGACAAAAAAUUCUGUCAACGUGGUCUUAGGUGGACGGUGAGCCUGUAGUGCAGCAUUAGCAGAAGUAAAAUAUACACGCUGCCCAUUUUCCAAGUGUACAGAGAGAUGUUGAACCAUUGGAUGGCGUCUGUGAAUAGGGAAUCCCAGAAUGCGCCAAACAGCUUCAAUGCUGCUAAUAUAUCGACCAUGUUGGUACUCUAGCACUUCAUUAGACUAUGUUUGAGCACCAGUAACUGCAAAAAUUUAUUGGUCUGAACCCUUGUAUAUGUAUUUGCAGAUAUAUUUUAUAGCAGAGAUUGAAGCACAGGACUCCACAUUGAUGUGAGCAUCAAAUAGUCUGCAUAGAAGAGGCGAAUAUGGCACAACAUACCUAUUAUCAAUGGUAACAUUAGUCAUGCGUACAACCUGAACACCAUUCUCUAUGGUGAAAACUCUCACUCUUUUAACAAAAUAAAAGCCACCUUCCUCAGGCCUGCGACGUCUGUACAAUGGGUAGCCAUCCCUAUCUGUCUGCGUUUCAGCCAAGAGUAGCCGUGGAUAUUUCUUUUGGCAUCUACCCCGUUCCAUGCAGCCAGGAUUAGGAUACCCAUGUCCACAUGGCCCAUGAAUCAUAUUUUUGGUUACAGUCCGAAACAGUGAAGCAUCAACCUCCUCAUUGGGGAUUUCAGCACAAAUGAUCGAAUCAAUCUGGUUUGGGCGAAUCUUUUCUUUAAGCCACAAUAAAAUAUGCGCAUGUGGUAGCCCUCGCUUUUGCCAUUCAAUGGUAUAACACCAACAUUGGGGCUUGCCAAAAACAUCACCCUUGGUGAUCAAAUCUAUAAGCUUGGUAACUUUCAAUUGAAAAAUGCGAGCAACCAAGUCAUGCCGAACAAAUGCACCUUGGGUGGGGAAUUGCAUUAGUUUUAUCUCAGGCUACUCAGGAUUGCAUGUAAAUGUAAUAAAAAGGUCUGGGCGACCAUAUUUACGGACGUAAGCCAUGCAAUCCUGGGCAUACUCAUGCAUGUGCCUUGGACUGCCCACAAAGGAAGAAGGAAGAAUAACUUGUCUUCCAAUAAGGGCAUGACUCCUGUCAGUGCGAAUAGCAUCUAACAGAUUGAUGUAUUCGGUUGCACGAAGUUGAGCUUGAUGCGCUGAGAUGCAAUGCAGCCUUUCAGAUUCCACCUUGGUAUAAAUGUCGACCAGAAUUUGAUGGAUCAAAUCUCCAAAAACCAGUAACCAAUUUGUUAGUCCAGGAUUAUGGCUACGAAUCAUUAGCAGUGAAGCAUAAAAAUCCAUGCAAGAAACCGUCUUGUGCGCCGAAGGAGAACCCCAUCAAUCAGCUGAGGGAUAUGGAAAUUAUAACCAUCUUGACCAUUCCAAAAACCCAAUGGGUAUUGCAGGGCGUCAUAAGACCUGUGAAACUCGUUAAUCCUCUGCACACCACUGCCUCUUUUGGAAAGAACAAUGUCACGUCUGUCACAGUUUUCCUGCACAAUAACAAUGGCAACCUCAUUAAUGGUUGGAGCAUUGAUUGUGCGAGGAUGGUGUCCAGGCGGUGCUUUGUCAGCCUUAAUGAACAACUUGUAAUCAGGAGAAGGCAUUUUUUCAAUGGAAGCUUUGAACAAAUGGACAUAAGGAUUAUGUCGAUGCAACAUAUCUUGCAAAAUGCUAACCAUUGAGAUUAGUGGGGCUUAGGGGCUUAGUGAUGGGAAAGUUUCUAUGGCGGGUGGCAACCUCUGCACUACUAUCUCCGAUGAAGAAAACCUGAAGGAAUGCUGGCUGUAGUUGGCGGCUAUCAGAGUUGAGUGGUGGCAAAACAGAGCCAAUUCUAUGAUAGACCUGGCCUUGGACCUUAAACGUUGGCAUGUAACCUGGCAACACAACACGACUACCACACCCAAAAGAUGUCAUUUGGAAGGCAUUGUUAUAGUGACGGACACGUUGCAUGAACUCAGCCGAGUGAGGAGAAGACCCAUCGAGCAGAGUUCUGAGAGCUUCUGGGGGUUCAGGUAAAUCAGGAAUUCUGACCUUCCCUGCAGAACAGCACAUUCCAGGCCGCUCACCAUUGUACUUAAAGGCAGUACAAUGCAGACAUUGUUUAUCCUUAUGGCCAAUCUGAAGAAAAGUAAAGUGUUCAUAAUUCAGGGCCGGAUUGUAAUGGAAAGCAGCAUUGAGCAUAUCAGCCCAAGUGCUAGCUCGUUGCCUGAAAUACCGCAACUGGUCAGCCUCCUGUCGUGUUUGGGAUUGCUGGGGAGUCUCUGAUGCGCGUUGAACUCUGUGGCGCAGCCGGUCACUUUGGAGGCGGGCUUGAGACUGUUGGGGAUUCUCCAAUGUGCGGCUACUUUGGCCUCUAGCAGCUCGGGCAGCCAUGCGUCGAGCUGCAGGAGUUCUUACUCCAAUUGCAGAUAUUUUGCGAGGCAUAUCAAAUGGGAUGAUUCAAUUUGAAAAUAUGUCCUAAAAACAGAAAUAGCACAAUCAGUACCAAAAAUAUUUUUGUAUAUAUAUAUAUAUUUAAAAAAGCUUUUAAGGAAAACAGUGCAGACCCAAAACAAAUCCAAUAAAUCAGAAUAAGUUACAGAACAAAACUGAUUAUCUAGUAGAAAUUUUUAAGUUUGUAAUAUCAAAACUACAUUGAUCACUAACCAUAACUUGGUAACUAAACCAAAUUUCUCUCUCAACAUUUCAGCAGAAAAAAAUAAGGCUAAAAAAGCUAAUGGCAAAACAUGUCAAACAGGUCAAUCUUUAGAAUGCUCAACUAUUUUUUCCCUAGCCUAAUAUCUGCGUAAACAAAAGGAAAGCAGCAUUAUAGAACAAAAUACACAGAAAUGGCAAGCGAAUAAAAUAAAUGACAACAGACUAAAUUUUAAACUAUCAAUGAAACAUAUGAUUUUUUUUAAAGAAUAACAAAACAAAGGCCAUUACAACAAUUAAAAAACAUAAGCUCAUUGUUUAUAUACAGUAAUAAAAGUUUGUAAAUAUUGUCAAAUCUGCAUUGUUUACUAACCGUAACUUUGUAAAAUGUAGUGCCCUAUCAACAUGUCAGAAAAAAAAUAAUACUAAAAAAAACUAAUGCCAAAAUAGCCAUGUUAAUAUUUUAGGCUGAUAAAAACCAAAGGGUAUAUGGAUUAUAGACAAACACAUGUUUUGGCUGUUAAAUGAGACAGUAAUUCAUAUUAAAUUUUCACUACUGUAUUUUUUCAUAUUGACUAUUGUUUGUUUAAUUUUAAGAAUUUUCAUAUUGACUGUAAAAAAAAACAAAGGCCAGAACAAAAAUUAAUAAAAAAUAAGAAAGCCAUUGUUUACAUACAGUAACGCUAAUUUUGUAAAGUUUUUUUUUUUUUAAUUGUGUGAAAUUUCGCAUUGUUUGAACUUACCUUAACUUAGUAAUAUAAAUUUCUCUCUCAAUACUUUUGUAAAAAAAGUGACACUCUUAUAAAAAGAUAUUUUAAAAAAAGUACGCAAGCAACUUGAAAAGAAAUGCAGAACGCUCAUUGGUCGCUUAAUUGGCCUCGUGUUGUUACUUACCCUCGUAUUUACUCCGCGUAAGCCUCGUAUUUACUCCGCGUAAAAAAAAAGUUUUUCAAAUGAAAAAAAAGAAAUAGCCAAAAAUACUAAGCAAAAUGUAGCCGAAAAUUUUCCUCAGGUUUAUAAAAAGCGACAUGCAAAAUUUGGUACCAAUUGGUUCAGUAGUUUUUGAGUUUAUCGCGAAACAGACAGGCAGAAAUUGACUUUUAUAUAUAGAGAGAUAGAUGUGGCCUUAUUGCUUUAUAUAAAAAAUAUCUGUUGAAUCUCAGUAGACGCAUACCUGACUGAGGCGCCAUUGUUCAAAAGAGGUGCAUUGCUGCGACAGCAAUUUAUUCCAAAUCGACUACCUAAAACCCACAGUACAUUAUAUCUAGCUCUUUUAAAUCCAAAAUUGGCGCUUUCUUAGAUGGGUUUGCUGUUAAUGUUUUUCUCAAUUAUCCCAAGUACGCAUGGGAUUAGUCAAGAUAUCAUAUAAUUAUCUUUUCUCUAUAUAUGCUUCGCAUAUCAAGACUUUAUACUUAAAAUUAUAUAAAAGGGCUGUUUAAACUCAUAAUUAUUUUAUUGUGGGUCAUUUUUAUCUCGUAAAUAUACCAAAAAUGCCCACUUCUGAGACAUUCUAUUGUACCUUUUUCCCGAGUACACCUGGUACAUAGCAUUAUCAACAGAAGUUGCGAAACUUGUGCAAAAGUUAAAUAUGCUGUUUGAAAAUUUCUAGUUAAAAGUUGUCAGAGACCUGUCUAUUUACACGGAUAUGCUGAAAUCUCGGAGACCAUUGACACCGAAAAGUGGUAAAUUCUACCUUUUUAAACAUACAUUCAUUUUGUAUUUGGUUAGCAACUUUUAAAACAGCUACAAAUAUCGAAGUUAUAUAAUCAUAAAUAAUUUCUGACAUAUUUCACCUAUAUGAAAUUCACUAUUAGCAAACUAUAUAAAUGCGUAUAUAAUUAUUCUAAACCUUUCCAUAGCUUGGUCUUCAAUAUUGUUAAGACGCUUUUCAGCGGUCGUUGUUUUCGUACAAGGUUUAAUGUAGGUUCAUUGUGGAUACAGAUUAGUUUGUUAUACUUUAUUGUCAGGAGCUGUUGAUGGGAUUGAGAACUAGGUACAUUUAGAUGGACUUGUCUCAAAUGUCCGCUAUCAGAAGGAUCUUCCUUGUCAACGUUCCGCUCCAUGCUGUCCACGUCCAACCUGUGCUACACCACCUUGUAGGCCGCUCCGAUGCCGAGGUCCUGGUACCGUUUUGCAGGAUAUCUACACUCCUGGAGGCAAAUCUCCGCGUCUUCCACUCUCCGCAGAUGUGACCAGACUCCGACCUCCCCCCCACACGAAUGCCAUUUUUUGGCACCUGUUCCCCUGACACAUGGCCAUCCCUACUGGAAACACCAGCUCACCAUCCUUCACAUUCCGGCCACCUCUCUAACUAUGGUGCUACCAGCUUCCUAUUUACUGUCUGAGAACACUCUAGUCCAGGGGUCAACAAACUGCAACUCGCGAGCCACAUGCGGCUCUUUGGAUGAGAAACUGCGGCUCUUUAUAUAGUUCCAAACGCAAA